rnacentral:rRNA from 1 species
UACAGAGGUCCCAAGCGUUGUUCGGAUUCACUGGGCGUAAAGGGUGCGUAGGCGGUCGGGUAAGUCUGAUGUGAAAUCUCACAGCUUAACUGUGAAACUGCAUUGGAUACUAUCCGGCUAGAGGAAUGGAGGGGAGACUGGAAUACUUGGUGUAGCAGUGAAAUGCGUAGAUAUCAAGUGGAACACCAGUGGCGAAGGCGGCUCGCUGGGCUCUACCUGACGCUGAGGCGCGAAAGCGUGGGGAGCAAACAGG